UACGUAGGGUGCGAGCGUUAAUCGGAAUUACUGGGCGUAAAGCGUGCGCAGGCGGUUUUGCAAGCCGGAUGUGAAAUCCCCGGGCUCAACCUGGGAAUGGCAUUCGGGACUGCAAGGCUGGAGUGCGGCAGAGGAGACUGGAAUUCCUGGUGUAGCAGUGAAAUGCGUAGAUAUCAGGAGGAAUACCGAUGGCGAAGGCGGGGUCUCUGGGCAGUAACUGACGCUGAGGAGCGAAAGCGUGGGGAGCGAACAGG
rnacentral:rRNA from 1 species